CAAAUCACCGUUUCCCCCAAACCCGACGCCGAUCACCCGAGUCUUCUCCUUCCUCGAUCUCCCCAACUCCUCUAACUGUCUCUCUCUCACGAACGAAGCACAACCACGGUUCCGACGACCGUCGACCUCGACGGAAACUAGUGGAGUCACCGGAGCUCGACAAUGCCAAGGAAGUCUAAGCCAGAUCUGGUCGAGGGGUUCUAUUUCGGUAGAUUUUGCGACCAAUCGUUGACAAUCGAUGGCUAGGGCACGGUGAGGAGCCGGAUCUCGCAUCGUCUCCGACUGGUAGGCCUUCCCUCUCCUCCCCUCGUGAUGCUGACAGAGCAGUCCGCACCUUAUUUCUUGCUGGAAUUGGGCAGCAAUGCCAUCGGGAGGUGAUCCAGAGAGGUAGGGCUUCGUCGGAUCUGUCCAAUGAUGGCGGUGUGGUGAGGUCACGGAUUUGGAGAUGUAUCAAGGAGUUGUUCUUGAGCUACCGGGCAGAGUCUAGAAGGAUGGUUGAUUGAUCAUUAAUUUUCCUGUUUAGUCUCUAUUGCCGAUCACUGCAAGAUCUCUACUUGAUCCGAUUGAUUUGCAUCAGUGAGGAUCUGUUUUGUGAAGGUGAUCUUGGUUCGGCAGGAACCCAUCCAUCUGUGAUCCUUGUUUCAGCAUAAACAGUAGCUGGGAUUUAGGUAUGCUGUAGGGAUUUGAUUACAUGAUCAGGUGUAGAUUUGAAUUAGGAUUAUGUUUGAAUUGAAUUUAGAAUGGAACAUGUGGUAGAUCAUGUUUUAGAUUUAAGGUUAUAAUUAGUUGUUCAUAUGUAAUUGGAUUUAGGUUUUGGAUUUCUAUCUAAUGGAUUGUUUGGGGUUAAGGUAACUAA